UAUUGACCGGGUUCACUCGACUCGCAAAAAUACUCGACUAGCCAGGAACGCAUGAACCAGAUGUGAGAUUUGAGGCGUCCUAUUGAGAUUCAAAGAGAAACAGCCCCAGACUCGAGAUGGGGAAGGUCUAUAGACGUUCAGGUAUUAAUUUAAGCUUGUUUGGAUGAAGUUCAUGUUUGACCGAAUAAAUAAAACCAUAGAUUUGAGGAGUUGAACUAUGAUUCGAGGGAUUUUAAGUGGGGAUUAGUGAUGAGGGAGAAGAGGGGAAGCUGUGGUGUAAUUUUUGUUGGGUUUGGGGGUAGCGGCACCACCGGCGGCUUAGGAAUUUGAGGCGGCGUCUCUAGGGGUUUCUGAGGGGUGAGGAAGACGAUGAGGAAUGGGGAUGGGGGUGGGGGGUCGUUCGGAUAGUUUUAUAGGGGAAAUCCUAGGACGCCCUUGUUCGUUGGAUCAAGAUCUAACAGAUUCGAUUAGCUGAGCAAAACGGCAUCGUUUGGUUAGAGUGGGGGGACCAGGUUUGGGUGCAUUUGGGCUUGGAGCAGCCUGGGCUCGAUUUGUGUAUUUUUGGGCUGGGGAAUCUGACCCAAUUGGCCCUCUCUUCUCUUUCUUUUAAAUUAACUUCUUUUUAUUUCCUUUUUCUUGAUUUUUCACUUUAUAUAUUUUUUCAAAUUUUCUGAUUUUUAUAAACAAUACACAAAAUAAGGAUAAAGAUCUAAUUAUUUCCAAAAGGAAAACUAAUUAAUUCCUAAAAUUGUUUAAAAAUCUAUUUCACGAUUAACUAAACAAUUAACAACUAAAGCGCAAAAAUGACUAUUUUUGUGAUUUUCAUGUUUUGUUCUAAACAAACUAACCCCUAAUUAAUCAUGAAAUACAAAAUUAAAUUCUAAAUACAAAAUGUAUAUUUUUUGUAUUUUCUUUUAUAAAUUAUCAAUCCAAAAUUUAUAAUUUUCCCAUUAGAGAUCCUCCACCUUAGUCCAGUAAUUAAUAGAUCUCUUCCCCACAAAAUACUUCUCCAGAUCCAUGAUCCUGUAGAUGUAGUAGAAGCGUCAAUGAAAGUUGAGCGUGGAAAGUUUUUACUUUUAAGUACCCUUGUUAACAACGAAUCCGGGUACGACAAUCAAUAAGGUUAACCAACCUCUAAGGUUAACCCUAGUGAAUCUAUAUCAGCUAGAACCAAUCAAUAAACAAAAUUUUAACUCUAAUUAAAAUUAAUUGACAUUAUCAUUGGAUUAAUGGCUAACAAAUAGAAUCAAUAACUAAAUCAAUCCAAAUCAGCUCCAGAAGAACAAAACAGAUCCAAACCAAUAUGAAUAAAUUAAAAGAAAUUUAAACUAUGUACUGCUGGACUAAAAAAAGCUCUAUCAAACAUACUAAUCUAACUACUAUAAACAGGGUCGAAUUCCUAAACCAAUCUCACAUGAGCAGACCAAAUAAAAACUUGAUUAUACUGACGACCAACCAUCAAAACAGAAAUCAACAAAGAGAAAUGAAAAUAAACCCUAAAAAAUUAUUCAAAAUUCUCAGACAAACCUAUAUUAAACUGGUAAUUACAAUAGUGCUAAAUUGACUAGUCAGAACGAUGAAUCAGAUUAAAAACUAAAGAAAAGAAAGAUAGGAAAACUUACUGAAAUUCGAACUUCGUGAGAAAACCCUUCGAAAUUAAACUCAGGUUAAUAUUAUACAUUCAUUUUAUAAGAAAUAAACGUAUAAUAUUGACCGGGUUCACUCGACUCGCAAAAAUACUCGACUAGCCAGGAACGCAUGAACCAGAUGUGAGAUUUGAGGCGUCCUAUUGAGAUUCAAAGAGAAACAGCCCCAGACUCGAGAUGGGGAAGGUCUAUAGACGUUCAGGUAUUAAUUUAAGCUUGUUUGGAUGAAGUUCAUGUUUGACCGAAUAAAUAAAACCAUAGAUUUGAGGAGUUGAACUAUGAUUCGAGGGAUUUCAAGUGGGAAUUAGUGAUGAGGGAGAAGAGGGGAAGCUGUGGUGUAAUUUUUGUUGGGUUUGGGGGUAGCGCCGCCACCGGCGGCUUAGGAAUCUGAGGAGGCGUCUCUAGGGUUUUCUGAGGGGUGAGGAAGACGGUGAGG
rnacentral:lncRNA from 1 species